GCCCCUAUAGCUCAAUUGGCAGAGCUCCGGACUUUUAAUCCGUUGGUUGUAGGUUCGAGUCCUACUGGGGGCACCA
rnacentral:tRNA from 2 species